GACGAACCGAGCGAACGUUGUUCGGAAUCACUGGGCUUAAAGGGCGCGUAGGCGGGCUGCCGCGUCCGGGGUGAAAUCCUCCGGCUCAACCGGGGAACGGCCUCGGAUACGGGCGGCCUCGAGGGGGGUAGGGGCAUGCGGAACUGUGAGUGGAGCGGUGAAAUGCGUUGAUAUUCACAGGAACUCCGGUGGCGAAGGCGGCGUGCUGGACCCCUUCUGACGCUGAGGCGCGAAAGCCAGGGGAGCAAACGGG
rnacentral:rRNA from 1 species